rnacentral:lncRNA from 1 species
UUUCAUGACAUCUACAAAUUUUCAAUCUCAACUAACAUAACACAUGUAUAAUGUGUUUAUAAGAUUGUUAAUUUCUCUGUACAGACGGCAAAUAAUUAGCUUCGUUCCGCCUUCUAGCCAUCAGUUGUUGGAUUAUAUUUGCAACGUCCACAAAUUUUGGUACGUAUCAAAAUUCGAAAAUGGGAAAGAUGGUGUGUGCAGAGGUGGAUGGAGGUAAUUUUUUUGAUGUGAGUCCACUAUUCAUAGCUAUUGUUAUUGCUGUCCUCCUUUUAUUCAUUUCAUGUAUGAGUCCACCACCUCGUAGAAGAUUUAUUGCAGUCAAUCGAUUUCAUUAAAGAACAGAAAAAAGAGCUAUGUUACUCGAACUCUUUAAGAAUAUUAUUUAUCAGGAAGUGUAUUGGAUCGAUAUCCUCAAAGAAUGUGUGCCAGCAAUUUGGAGGGUUUGAAUAACAUAUAUCAAGUGGUUUUGAAGCUUUAACCAAAGCUUCAUCAUGUGUUCUUUAUUGUUCUAUCUACCUAAUUAUAUAGUUUUUUUUUUUUUUUUUUUUUCUUCCCAAUUUUAUAGUUUUUUUUUUUUUUUUUUUUGGAUUUGAGUUAUUGUUUCUGUAAACGAAAUAGGGAUACAAUUAAUGAAUUCUGUUCCUUGAUGGAAUGAAUGGAUGAGUCUAGAUUAGAAUUCUUAUCGAGAAUAUCUUCACUACCUUGCACAAGGUGGGAGUAAGAUAUCCGUACACUCCACCCUCCUAAGAUCCCAUGGAAUAAGUUGUUUGUUAUUGCUAUUUAUGCCAUUAAUAUGGAUCAAAUUAGGUUAUUGAAUUCAUGCUUUUGCUUAUAUUAAAAUUUUAAGAGUAAAUGAUUAAAAGUCCAAUUUGCAUAGGAAAUUUGCAAAGGCACUGCCCAUCAACAACAACGAUAUCCAGUAUUCUUGAGGCAAAAAGUAUGAUUGUAUUAUGUAUGAGUUUACUACAAAAAUAUAUUUAAUAAAUGUUAUAAUUAUGUAGUAUAUAAUUCUACAACUGAAUUCUCGAGAAAGUUACACAUAUAUAUGUUCGGUUAACUAGUUCACUGACAUGGUCAGAUACGGAUCUAAGAUUUAAAGUUUGUGGGUUCCAUGUUAGAUAAAAAAAAUGAAAAAAUAAAAAUAAAAAUAAAAAUAAAAAUAAAAUAAUAAUUAAGGGAAUUUGAACCCACAAUCGUGAGGUCAAUAAAAUUUUUACAAGUCCCUCUACUUCACUAGACCAACAAUACACUUUGUUUAUGAGUUCCCAACUUAUAAUUCUUAUAUAUUUACUAGAUUUCUCUAUAUAAAUACUAGAUCCACACGAAAGUUACUGGGUUUCCGGGAAUCUCCAUCCGGACCCGUAGAUCUGCCCCUGGACAUGGUCAAUGUAUACACAAGAUAUACACUAUCAAUGUAUAUGUUGCGCGCGCGUGUGUAUAUAUAUAUAUAUACACACAUUAUAUGUAUAUUUAGUAUAACUAAUUUAACCGCACGUGCCUCGCACGUGUAACGUUUGAUUAUUUAAAACUAAAUAAUUUUGUCUAUUGUGGAGAGUUUAAUGAAGUGUAAAAAGUUCAAAUCACUUUUCAAAUUCAAAUAUCCUUAACACUUAAUAUAAUAAUGUAAAUUUGAUACUUCUUAAUUUUUCUUAUUUUCACGUUUUUAUAUUUAUUUUUAAAAUUUUCAAAUCUUCUUAAAAUCAAAUUUAGUUGAUUUGAAAAUUUUAAACUAAUGAAAAAUAUAGUUGUCAUUAAUUUUGAUGACUCCUAAUAAAGAAAGGUUUUAUCAUAAAUAUAUUUAAUUAAUUUUCACUUUUAAAUAUUAGGAAAAAUUAGUGAAAAGAUGAUUUUGUCUAAAGCAAAAACUUUUAAUGAAGGAUAAAAAAUUUAAACACAUUUCUAACGCCUUUCACACUUUUAAUAUAUUGUAGAUGUCAAUACAACUUAUGCAAUUUGUGCAAUUCAUGCUUGUAAUAAUCAGUUUGGGCAAGAGCACAGUCAAAUUUAAGACCUCUAUUUAACACAUAGCCGUGGUGUAUAAUCUUUUACACAUUUAGCCAUUUCAAAAUAAACUUUACAAUUUCAAUCACUCCAAUACACGAAUACAAAAUUUAGCUCUCCAAAAUUUGAAAUACGACUAUUUAUAGAAAAAAUAUAUAACAACGUGUUAGGGUGUUUUAAACAUAGUUGCAAUAAAAAUUAACUAUGUGAAAGUAAAUUGAAUAUAUGACUAUGGGAAUGCAAAGUAUUUUGUUGGCAAAAUGAUCUUCUGGACCCUUGUACUAUGUUGGUUUUGUAAGUUGGACAUUUUUACUUACAUGUUUGUCAUUUGGACCCCUGCACCCACUAAAAAGCAACAUUUUAAACCCUUUUUUGGCGAGUAUAACACGCUCUCCCCCAUGUCAAUUGCCACGUCUGCCACGCCAUCUGCCACGUCAUAUUAAAAGAAAUAAAUAAGAAAAUAUUACAUUAAAUUCCAAGUCAUUUUUAAAAUGCUACAUAACAAAUUAAAUAUUAAAAUUAAUUUAAUUAAAUAAGAAAAAUUUAUAAAUUGUAGAAAAAUUUGAAUAAUCAUGUUUUUAUUUUUNNNNNNNNNNNNNNNNNNNNNNNNNNNNNNNNNNNNNNNNNNNNNNNNNNNNNNNNNNNNNNNNNNNNNNNNNNNNNNNNNNNNNNNNNNNNNNNNNNNNNNNNNNNNNNNNNNNNNNNNNNNNNNNNNNNNNNNNNNNNNNNNNNNNNNNNNNNNNNNNNNNNNNNNNNNNNNNNNNNNNNNNNNNNNNNNNNNNNNNNNNNNNNNNNNNNNNNNNNNNNNNNNNNNNNNNNNNNNNNNNNNNNNNNNNNNNNNNNNNNNNNNNNNNNNNNNNNNNNNNNNNNNNNNNNNNNNNNNNNNNNNNNNNNNNNNNNNNNNNNNNNNNNNNNNNNNNNNNNNNNNNNNNNNNNNNNNNNNNNNNNNNNNNNNNNNNNNNNNNNNNNNNNNNNNNNNNNNNNNNNNNNNNNNNNNNNNNNNNNNNNNNNNNNNNNNNNNNNNNNNNNNNNNNNNNNNNNNNNNNNNNNNNNNNNNNNNNNNNNNNNNNNNNNNNNNNNNNNNNNNNNNNNNNNNNNNNNNNNNNNNNNNNNAGGGAAAAAAAUAUAUUUUUUAAAAUUUUUAAAAUUAUUUUUAAAAUGAUUAUUUAAUUUUUAAAAAUAUUUUUAAAUUAUUUUUAAAUUAAAAAAGAUGGAGGGAAAAAAAGGAUCCUUUUUAUUUUUUUUAAAAAUUUUAAAAUAUUUUUAAUUUUUUUUAAAAUAUUUAAAAUAUUUUAAAAUUAUUUUUAAAUUCUUAAAAAUAUUUUAAAAUUAUUUUUAAAUUUUUUAAAAAUAUUUUUAAAUUAAAAAAGGUGGAGGAAAAAAUGAUCCUUUUUAUUUUUUUUUUAAAUUUUAAAAAUGUUUUUAAAUUUUUAAAAAUAUUUUUAAAUUUAAAAAUAUGGAGGAAAAAAAAGGCCCCUUUUUUUUUUUUUUUUAAAUUUUAAUAUUUUUUUAUUUAAUUAUUGUAAUGUAAAAUUGACCAAAAGUUGACCCUCACUCGCAUCCACAGGCGAGUGGCUACACUCUCUUUGUCCUUGUCACCAUUCUAAUGCCACAUAGGCAAGGUCAAUGGUUAGAGGUUGCAAAAUGUUGAUUUUUGAUGGGUUCAAGGGUCCAGAUGACAAACAUGUAAGUAGAAGUAUCCAACUUACAAAAUGAUAUAGUACAGGGGUGCAGAAAGUCAUUUUGCCUAUUUUGUUGGACUAUACAAAUUUCAGAAAUAGCAAUUCAUAAACUUAACCAAAAAAUUAGCAAUGUUUAUAUAAUUAACAACAAAAUUCUAUGAUCAUGCCAUACUAGCCAAAGUAGGCUAAAUAUUAGGUCGACCGCUUAAAACAAAUGUAUGUACAUUUGCAACUCUUAGGAAAAAUAUGCUCGUAUCUGUGUAGAGGUCUCAAUGAAAAAAUCAGCUAAAAAGCAAGUAUUUAUAGGACAUCACUGCUAGAACAUCAUUUAUGAAUGAGCAGGCAUUUUGUGUACUAAGUGUCAUCAUCUGAGACAUUCAUCGCCAUAUUGUCAAAAGCAAGUGGGCCCUAGCACCAUUGGACAAGGACUAUGUACAAUGACAUCAACUGAUUUCACAAAAGAAUGCGAAGUCAGCUCAGAAAAUAGCCAACAAGAGGAAUGACAAACAAUUAUCUUUUCAAAAAGAUCCAAACAAUAAAAAAAGUGUGAUGUAGUAAAAAUAAGUAUGGAGUUGACUACUCAAGAUAUAAAAGUUAAUAUCUUUAAGGAAUUAACGGGUAAGUUCCUAGAUUAAAAAAUCUUAAAUUACAAGGUAAAAAAACCUCUCUAAUACUACUAUCACUUUCAAUAACUUUAAUUGCUUGAAUAAUAAAAAAGUAGGUUCUGCUUACAGUUUAAAAGGAAAAAAAUCCUUCCAUAUCAAAUGAAGAGAAAAUAUCGACGUCACGUUCUAACGUCGCUAAACCACUCAUUAAUUCUAUAGUUAAAUCUGAUUUAUUACCUUCCUCUCAGUUCAUUAACCUUAGUCAAGGUAACCCUAUUAUAACCCCUAUUUUAACCUUAAUAGUCACAUCAUCAGGUAAGGGGACAACCUUCCCACCAAGUAAAAAAAAAUCAGCCACAUCUUUCUUUACGAUCAAAAUUGAUAUUGAUCAAAAUAUCUUUAAUACUAAUUAUAACACUAUACCUGCCCUUAAUAAUAUUGACUUGACAAUUCAAAUUACCAUAAAUCAUUUGUCCCCCUAAUUUGCCAAAUCUAGAAAAUAUCAUGAUAAACCAACCAAGCAAUGAUAUUCUUAUAAAUCACUAAGAACUUUUUAGGAUUAGUGAUUAGCACACAAAAAUUCAAAUAUAACCUUUAGUGAUAAAUUUAAAACUAUUCCUAAUGUGGUAAAAAAUUCUACAAGGUUUUUAUGUACUAUAUCUAAAAGCACCUUUAUUCCUUUAGAUUCUAUUACUGUCAAACUUUUACUCUCUGAACACAUGCCUCGCUAACUAUUUAUCUUCCAACUCCAAUGACUAACCUCAAUAAUGAAUCCUAUUCUAGCUCACUCCCAGAGGAAUGAACCUUCCCAACCAUCACUCCAAAUGGAUCCUCCACCACCACUAUCUACCACUCUGCGACUAAUAGGGGAUAGAUACUAGUCUAUUCUUCGACUCCCUCGUCAAUGAACUUUGCUUGAAUUUCAUGGAUGGAGAUGACCGCUCAAGGGUUUGCACUGACCAUGAGUGUACUACUGGCGAGAGGUCUUUGUAGUAGUGCAAAACCUGACCUAUUUAGUUGUGGUGGCGACGGAGAUGAUGAGAGCCAUAACAAAAACUAUUACAACCAUUUUCAUUGUCCAAUACCCUCCAAGCCCCGGUGAACUAUCAAAUGCCGCAACUUUCAUUCUACCACCUAAUGGGAUGGGAGAUUUCUAUGAUCAACUCUCUUGGUCCUCAACUGUCAUUCUCAAUAUUUUCGAUCCUCCCAUUACAGUUGGAGGCUUUGAUGAAUCAGAGGAACCUCAAUUUCAGUUGAUGGAACCAAUGUUAAUACUCAAUUUUGGCUCUUCGUGCUUAAAAUUAACGUCUUCAGGCUUCCAUAUCAUUAGAGGACACAAGAUAUAAUUCUCACAUAUCUAUUACAAUUGUUAACAAACUAUUGAUAAUCAUCCUUUCUUUAAGAUUUAUCAAUUUAUUGUCAUAUUUUUUUUACUUUAUUGAUAAUUCUCCUUAUAUUAGAAUUUUUACCAAUUCAUUAUCGUUUUUAACAUUUUUAUAAUCAUCUGCACACGUACAUGAUAUGACAUCACAUUUUUACUUUUCAAGUCAAUUACAUUUUCAAUUUUUCUUUACAUUUUUUUUGUACUUACGCAUUGAUACCUACCUUAGUACAUUAUUUAAUACAGUCUGCAAAUGAUAAGCCAGAUCAAUUAUUUUUCAAUAAUAUAAUAGUUUGGUGUCCUGACAUAUCUGACAAGACUACACAAUAAUGUCUUGUCACAUUCGACAACGAUUACACAAUAAUAUCUUGUCAAAUCUGACAAUGAUCACAUAAUGACACUACCCUUUGAAUAAUAACUUUAUUAGUUGGUCAAAAGAAUGAAAAAUUCUUUUGUCAAUAACUUAAGGAUCAAAGGAUGUUCUAUAAUAAAAAGAGGGAACACUCUUUUAUCCUUUGGCUAAUAAAAGGUGUCAAUAUUUAUUAUAAAUAAAUGGGGGUAGAAGAAACAAAUGCAUACACAUUUUUAUUCUUUUUUCUCUCCUCUUUCAAGAAUAAAAAAAUACACACACAAAUUUUUCCUUCUUUUCCUCUCUCUAAAAAACACAAAAAAUAUACAUAUACACAUCAAUUUUUUCUUUCUUUUCUACGUUUCAAUUGCUCCACCAGUCGAGAAGCCAUUACCUUUCAAUUGCUCCGUUAGUCGAGAACUUCUUUAUUUCAAAAGCCCCACCAAUCGAGAGACCAUUACCUUUCAAUUGCUUUGCCAGUCAAGAGCUUCUUUAUUUCAAAAGUCCUGCUAGUCUAGAGGUUAUUACUUUUCAAUUACUCUGUCAGUCGAGAACUCCUUUAUUUCAAAAGCCCCGCCAGCCGAGAGACUCUUACCUUUUAAUAACUCUGUCAGUCGAGAACUCCUUUAUUUCAAAAGCCCCGCCAGCCGAGAGACUAUUACCUUUUAAUUACUCCGCCAGUCAAAAGCUUCUUUAUUUCAAAAGCUCCGCCAGUCGAGAGCUUCUUUAUUUCAAUAGCCCGCCCGUCAAGAGGCUAUUACCUUUCAAUUGUUUCGCUAGUCGAGAGCUCAUUUAUUUCAAUAGGCCCACCAAUCUAGAAGCUAUUACCUUCUUUCCGCUUUGCCGGUCGAGAGCUUCUUUAUUUCAAUAGCCCCGCCAGUCGAGAGGCUAUUACCUUUCAAUUGCUUUACUAGUCGAGAGCUCUUUUAUUUCAAUAUCCCUACUAGUCAAGAGGCUAUUACCUUUUAAUUGCUCCGCCAGUUGAGAGAUUCUUUAUUUCAAUAACCCCACCAAUCGUGAGGCUAUUAUCUUUCAAUUGCUCUACCAGUCGAGAGCUCCCUUAUUUCAAUAGCCCCACUAGUUGAGAGGCUAUUUCCUUUCAAUUGCUCUGCCAGUCGAGAGCUCAUUUAUUUCAAUAGUCUUAUCAGUCGAGAGGCUAUUAUCUUUUAGUUUUUUCACCAAUCGAGAGACCAUUAGAAUUUAAUCACUUCACUUGUUAAUGACCUUAGUCUUCAUAGACAAUUGAGGACGACCAUUAACAUCAGUCUCCUUAGAUAAAUAGAGAUAUCAUGCACUAAGUUUCUCAAAGACAAUCAGAGGACUCUACCACAAUCAACAUCCGUUUCCACAGAUAAUUGGAGAUGUUGUCAAGUCUUUGUAAACAAUCAAAGACAUCAUUAUUCAAUAUUAGCCUCCGCAGAUAAUUAGAGAUGAGAACCAACAUCAAUCAUUGUAGAUAAUCGAAGACGACAAUCAACAUUAGUAUCCAUAGACAAUUGGAGAUGACACCCAUCAAGUCCCCCGUAAAUAAUCGGAGAUAACAUUCAUCCUCAAGUCCCCAUAGAUAAUCGGAGACAUCAUUUAUCCCCAAGUCCCCAUAGAUAAUCGGAGGCAUCAUGCAUAUUUUCAAUCAAAAAUACAACCUACAACAAGAUAGUUUUUAAAAAUCCUUCUCAAAAGUUCAAUGUUAGACACAAAUCAUACAUUGAGGCAAAUUUUGAAAACCACCUCAAAAUUUUUCCUAUUUUUUCACUCUGAACUACAUUGAUCUGAUUCUCGUGACACUCGAGAUAUAUAAAAAUCUCUAUGCAGGGUUCGAUCAUCACAACUUUGUAAUCAUUCUUUCUCCCCAACAAGUAUAUAAUCAUGCAUCCCUAGCAUCUCAUAGCUUGAUAUUGGGGCAAUUUCAAGGAGAGCAACAAAAAUGUGUGGACAUUUUCAUUCCCUAAUAGUCCUUUUCUUAAUAAUCAUUCCAUAGGAGCGUUCGCCUUAAUAAUGAGGCAAAAGACAAUUUGCCUAUUCCUGUGAACUAUAUGCGACCUGAUCCUCAUGCAACUCAAGGUAUGUAGGUAAUUCUAAAUUAAAGUUUGGUCAAAUUUUCAUCAAAAAAUAAUAAUUUUUGUCCAACAAAAUUGGUUACACAUCAACAUUUUCAUUUGAAGACUUCUACAUCAUCUUUAAACAAAAAGGGGCAAUUGUUGACACUCAAUUUUAACUUUUUGUGCUUAAAAUUAACGUCUUCAAGCUUCCUGAUCAGUAAGGGGUACAAUCAUCUGAACACGUACACGACAUGACAUCAUAUUUUUAUUUUUUCAAGUUAAUUAUUUUUAAAAUUUUCUUUAUAUUUUUCUGUAAUUAUGCAUUGAUAUCCGUAUUAGUACAUUAUAUAAUAUAGUCUACAAAUGCUAAGUCAGAUCAAUUAUUUUUACAUAAUAUAAUAAUUUAGUGUCUUAUCACAUCUAACAAGACUAUACAAUAAUGUUUUGUCACUCCGACAAUAACUACACAAUAAUGUCUUGUCACACUCGAUAACGAUUACAUAAUAAUAUCUUGUCACAUUCGUCAAUGAUCAUACAAUAAUGUCUUGUCACAUCUAACAAUGACCACACAAUAAUACUAUCCUUUGGAUAAUAACUUUGCCUAUUGAUCAAAAGGAUGAAAAAUCCUUUAGUAAAUAACUUAAGGACCAAAAGACUGUUCUAUAAUAAAAAGAGGGGACACUCUUUUAUCCUUUGAAUAUAAAGGGUGUCAAUGUUUAUUAUAAAUAGGUGGGGCAGAAGAAAAAAUGUACACAUAUUUUUGUUCUUCUUUCUUCAAUCUCUCAAGAAUAAACAAAUACACACAUAAAUUUUUCUUCCUUUUUCUCUCUCUAAUAAACACAAAAAAAUACACAUGUACGUACACACCAAUUUUUUUUUCCUUUCCUACUUUCUGUCCCAAUAAAUGCACAAAAAAUAGAUAUACACACAAUACACAUAGUACACAUAUACACCCACAAAAAAUAAAUUUUGCUCUCUAUUUUCUCUCUGAAUAAUACACACACGCCUCUUCUCUCUUUAUUUCUUCACUGUCGAUAGUCGGAGCUUCGGCCACCACCACAGCGCCCCCUCUCUCAACUAUCUCUCCUCUCAACUGUUGCUUCGCCGGAGUUGGUAGCCGGCAGGCGAACCCACAAACCAACAAACACCACUGCACUGUCACUAUUAAAGCUCCAGUGAGCUCCAGUUUCUAUCUCUCUUUGGUUUAUUAUUGCUUAUAAGAAAAUGAUGUUUUCACCAUUGAUGCAAAUUUAGCCGGAUCAGGACUUUUCGACGUUGCUCUGUCCAAAUCCGUUGAAGCAACAGCACUAUCUCAUCACUUCUUUGUCUAAUGUAUUUGUUAAAUAUGAUUUUUGAUGUUAUUUGAUGGGAGUUGUAUAUUUUCCGGCGAAGUCCUUUGAUUUUGAUGGUUGUUUAUAUAUUUGGGCAUUUGCUUACAAUUAUCGAGUUACUUUUGUUUAUUGUUGACAUAUUUUGUUGCAAUUUUUUUUAACUGUUCCACUAAUUUUGGAUUGAUUUUUGACUUGGGAUAAUUAAUUCGUAUUUAUUUUACUUAGUUAUUUUACCUUUCAAUUCUAUGUCAUGUGUUACAUUGAUAAUGAAUAAUACUAAAAAAUACAUUGACCAAUGAUAAUAUCUCUCCGUCGGAUUUUCAAGGCUACGCCAUAACAAAAAGCAAUUUUUUAUUUCUCAAGUCAGCUUAUUUCAAUCAAAAUAAAUACAUGGCCAAUGAAAAAACUUCCGUCGAUUUUUGAGGCCUCCCCUAAUAAAGACAUACAUUAUGUAUAUAAAUAUGUAACAAGAUGAAUAAAUUCAGGAGAGGACAAAAUCUUUAUAACAUCAUGACAACACAAAGGAUUUUACGAUUCGUAUCUUGACAGGGCGAUUUAGGAUGACCGAUAAAGCAAGCAACCACUUAGUAGCCUUGACGUAUGUAAAAUCUAAUAUGAACCCACACUUUAAUAAAAAGAUUCUAUUUUUUAUGUAUAUUUGUACACACAUAUUCACACAUAGUUCUUAAUUUAUUUUACUUUGUUACUAACGUGUUUGUAUAGGUUCUCGGUAAUACUUGCCGAAAAAUGCAAUUCAAAAGGAGAAUUUUGUAUUUGUAUUUUUCCUUAUGAUUGUACACAUUAAACAUAUACUUUACUUUUUGGGGCAUCAGGCAGAAAUAUUCUUUACUUACAUAACACACGUUUAGGCAAAAUUUAAGCCGUUAAUAAUUAAAUAAAAGAAUUGAGUUAAUCAAUUAAUUCAUACAUUUACAUUAUAAAUAUUAUGUAGUCUUUUCUCUUCAAAUGAAUAUUUACUUUUCUCCCUAAAUCAAGUAUAAAUAAUAUUUGUAAAUACUUUUCCUUUUCAUAGAACAUCAAAGAUACUUUCUUUUCAUAUAUUACAAAAUAUUUUUCUUUUCACAUGUAUCUUAUAUAUAUUUUUUAUACAUAUCUUCUAUAAUGAUAUAUUUAUACUCAAUAUACAUACAUCUCUUACAUUAUUAUAAAUACUUAUAUUUUCCAAAAAUCAUUUUCUUAUCUCUUCCCUAUUUGAUAAAUUUAGUCUAGCUGGGUACCACAUUUGUGGAUUAUGAAGGGCGCCUAUCCCUUCCCUUCGGAUUAAUUUGAACCUUUACCUAAAAGCUCAAUUGAUUUUUUGCAGACUUAAACGUUAAUCAUACGUUUUAAUAAAUAAAUAGGUUUCCUUAUUUUUCUAAAAAAAUUAGGUGGCGACUCUGUACAAAAUUCAUUUUCUUUUGGAGUCCAUAAGUCAUGUUUUGUUUAACCUUGAAAAAAAUAGGGCAUGACAACCAUUGCCAUUCCAACCUAUGGGGUUAUAUGCUCAAUCCAUAGAGAGUUCGAAUAAAUCAGCUCCCUUCAACCUCGCGACUCCAAACUAGGUACACUCGAUACUGAGUAUGCCCUCCCUACCCCCCGUGGUUUCGAAUUCCCAAGAAAAUCUAAUCAUGCAGGAAGUGGAUGCUAUAGAAUUAAUGAGAGAGAUAAGAACAGAGAUACACAUCGUAAAAGAAAUAAGUGUUAGUAUUCAAGGAACGAUACGUAAGAAAGUCCAUACUUAUUUUUCCUCUAUUUCUAUUGAAAAUCUCCUUAGAUAUAAGGAUCCCUGUGAUUUCGAAGAUAGAAAAUUUUGUAGUAGUAAUGAGCCCAACUUUGAUAGAGAUGAAAACAUUUCUAAAUGAAGGGAGUUCCAGUAUAACACCACCAAACAUGAGCAACUCCAUAAAUAUGAUAAUAUGUAACCGUAGGGGUAGCAAUGGCUCGGAGUUCAGAAGGAACUUCAGAGCUCUAAUGGAUUAGCAUAAGCCACUCUUAUUGGCACUUCUGGAAAUAAUAUGUAGGAUCAUUUAGAUCUUCUUAACAUAUUUACUUUCAAUAAGAUGAUUGAGGUUCCUGCUAUAGGUAAUUCUGGUGGUAUUGUGGUUCUCUGGGAUGAUAACUUGUUGGAAUUGGACGACAUUGCUACUAAUGAAAAGGAAAUCCAUGCAAUGGUCAAGGUAUGUUCUAGCUCUGAAUCAUGGUUACUUUUAUGUGUGUACGCAAGUACUUGCAGACAUGCUCAUAAUAUUUUAUGGCAAAAUCUAAAAAUCAUGAAGGAUAAUUUUAAUGAAAAAUGGCUUAUAAGAGGAGAUUUUAGUGAGAUAAUGUGUAGCCUGUAUAAGAAAGGGGGAAGAACUAUUAGUCAAACUUCUACCUCGGACUUCUGAAACUCCAUAAACUAUUAUGAAUUGAUUGACUUGGAUUUUAAAGGGACAAGAUACACAUGUCUUAAUAAACGCUUUAAAAAUAGAAAUAGCCUUAUUCUACAGAAACUGGAUUGCUCUUUUGCAAAUCACAAGUGGCUUCUCUCAUAUCCCAACUUUCAAGUUAUCCAUUUACCUAGGACCCACUCUAACCACUAUUUCCUUUUACUUAAUUAGGAUUCAAAAAUAAAGCAAAUUACAAAAAAAAAAAA